AAUAAAUAUCUUAUUUUUACAUGUUUUUUUUCCUUAAUGAAAGUUAAUCAUGCAAAAAUAAAUAUUUAAAUUUGACAUGUUUUAUUUUUUUUUGAUAGUUAAUCAUGCAAAAAUAUAUAUUUUAAUUUCACAUGUUUUAAAAUUUAUUAAUUUUUUUAUUUUUAAAGAUUCCAAAUUGGACAACCUACAUACAAAUUUGAUUAGAAUUCUUAGUUAUUUAAAAAAAUACUUUAAUAUUCCUAAGGAUUCUCACCAUUGGAGAUGGUCUAAUUAGUUCGGGAACAUAAUAAGCGAGGUCUCUUGUGAGCUCUAUCUUCUUCCCUCUUUCGAUUUCCUGAGCUUCAGAUUAACAAACAUGGCCACCGCUGGAAACAAGAACAUCAACGCCAAACUGAUAACAUUCUCAACGCAAUUGCUAAGCUGGGAUUUACUGAGCCAACACCAAUACAAGCUCAGGGAUGGCCAAUGGCUUUAAAGGGUAGGGAUUUAAUUUGGCUAUUUCUCCACCUUCUCCGACUACAAGCAAUGUGUCAUCUCCUUCUCCUUGUGAUGUUAAAGUAGGUGAAGAACCUGUUUCUUUGACUAAGAGAAGAUUCAGGUCUAAUAAUAUUGAACCUAUACAUUUUGGGAAAAUGAAGGUAAUUGAGAAAAAAACUUAAAGCUUUACACUUUUUUGUGUACACAUUUAGUUUCUUAAUUUUGCUUUUGUGUGAUUUUCUGCAAAGGUGGUUCCUUUCAAUGGAAAAUUGGCUAAGGCCAAGAAGAGGUGCCAUUGGUGUGGAACCAGAGGAUUUGAGGAUUUGGUUAGCUGUCUGAGUUGUAGAAGAGAGUUCUUUUGUGUAGAUUGUAUCGAUAAAAGGUAUCUUGAGUUAUUAUGUUUGCUCUCGUACUUAUCUUGUUUACAGAGAGCACUGGUUUUUCUCUAAUUUAGAAUCAUCAUCUAGAUUAGUAGUUCCAUCGUAGCAUAGUUAUAAUAAAAAGUAAUCCCAGUAGAUUCAAUUAGUUUUAUCGAGCUACGAUGUAGAGAGGGUUAAUCAUUCACCUAUGGUAAAAUGUUAGGAUACUCUUUCCUGCAAUUCUCAGCUGCAGUAACUUCAUUUGGGAUUUGUUUAUGCAAUUUCCUUGUUUCUAAUUUGCUUUCUUGUCUGAUUUUUUUUAAGAACCUAUAAAUAAGAAACUAGUAUUGGAGUGAAAAAUCAAUGUAUCUGUUAACUAGAGUUCUUAAUUAUAUUUAAUUACUAAAAUAUUUAUUAAGAGACUCUAAUGGGUUUGCAGGUUAAUCAUGCUCAUGGCCCUGGUUAUAUUUGUCUGCUAGUGUUUUUGUUGUGUAACUAAAACUUUUGUUGCUCAAUUGUAUUAUUUUGUCAAUCCAAUUACCCAUGUUUUGGGAGUUCAAUCCAUAAAUGCAUUUACUUGCUUAUUUCUUUUUCAUUUUUUGUAUUAGAGCAAAUGGUGAAGUUGUCGGAUGUAUAAGAAACUCAAUGAAUAACCAUGUAAUAGUGUGAUAUUUUGCCAUAAAAAGUGAUGAAUUGUUCUGUAACAUCCCGGGUUAUGACAUGUAGAACGACUUAAGAAAAUUGAUUUAGCUAUCUAUAUCACCAAAGUUGAUUUAUCUUUUCCGUCACACAUUCGUUUAGAACUCCAGGGUUAAGCGUGCUUAGGCUGGAGUAGUAAAAGAAUGGGUAACCUAUCGGGAAAUGAUUCGCGAUACCGUGCGAGUGUGGCUAAAACACGGAGAAAGGUCAUGUGGUGAUUGUAGGGUCAGUAAACAAAACUUUCAGGCCUUCGAAAAAUUAACGCACCAACCGUUGGAACAUGAUAAAGCCCACGGACCGAGAGAAGCGAGCGUGGGUGGCCCAGUAACCAUAGGCAGUCGGGGUGUUACAUUCUCUCUGAUAUAGUAGAUGGACAUGUGUCUGCUAACUUUUACUUUUGUAUGAAAUAGAUAGUGAAUAUUAAUAUGAAUCAAGCUUUACUGUGUAAAUAAAUAUGUACGACAAUAUAGACUCGAGAUUGUAAAACAAAAUCAAUUUAUAAUAUAAAUUACCUCAGUCUUGUUAUAUAAAGUUUGGUUCUUCAAAGUUAUUAAUUAACAUAAUUGCGACACAUGACAGUUAUUUAUUUAAGAUUGUGACAUGUGUUAAUUUAUCUCGUAACUAAAAAUAUAAAUAUAAUAAGAUAAUAACAAAAACAAAUUUUAUUAAAAAGUAAUUAUAAAUAUUAUUUAAUAGUAAUUUUUCAUUUUAAAAAUCCUAAACAAAAGAUAAUUGCAAAAUAUUAUUGCAUAGUAAUUUUCCUUCUCAUAUUUUGACAUGUGUUUAAACAUAUAAUGAUUAAAAAUACUAAGAUAAUAAAAAUGAAUUUAGAAAAAAAAAAUUAAAAAAAUAUUUAAUAGUAGAAAAAAU